UUUCUGUAUUUUGUUUUGAUUGAAUAAUAUUGAGAAAAUCUUGAUCAACAGAGAUAAAUAAUUACAAAUGGUAAUAAUGUUCUUUUAACUGCUCUUCAACUGGACAGAUUCAGAAACUUGAAACAAGAGUAAAGGAAAACGUUUAUUGGAAAAAAUAAUAAUCAAGUGGGGAACAGAUGGAGGGAGAUUUGGAUGACACAAGAAUGGCAGAAUAUUCGUAAUUGCUGAAGCUGGGCAGUAACAAAUAACCUAUGUAUUCUGCAGCUCUGCAUAUCAGGGUGAUUUUCAGUGUAAAGCAGGCCACUUGCCACUGACAAACAGGGCAUCCUUUCAGCAGCAGCCAGAAAGCUGAUCUCUUGAUUCUCUGUUCCUGGGCGUGUAGGUAUGUAAGCAGAAGGCGGCAAGGGAUAGGCUGCCAUGACAUGUCUAGGGGGCUUUGCCAAGACAACACAAAGCAGGUAACCCUGCAGUGGGGAGAGGAGUCAGGUUGCAACUAACUCCUUAUCACCUGCUAAGGCAGAGUCAGCAACCUGGCAGCUUUCCCUCCCUCUACUUAGAGAAAAUGUUCCCCUUCCAGGCACCUGCUUGGAUCGUUGAUCCUAAGGAGACCUACCCCUCUCUCCCAAUUCCACAAGAAGCAAAGGAAGAUAGGAUCCACGGAUAGCAUCCAACUCCAGACGAGUGACAGACAGAGGGGAGGAGGUCCAGACACCUUCGAAAUAACACUCAAAACAGGAGCCAAAAGAAGGAGCAGCUGCGUUUCAAUGGCCAUGGAGAAGAGGAGGAAACUUGGACACAGACAUAUGAGAAGAAAGACUAUGUAAAGAUACAGGGAGAGGAUGGCCAUCAACAAGCCAAGGAGAGACACCCCAGAAGACACCAAUCCUGCUGAUGUCUUGAUCUUGGAUUUCUAGCCUCCAGAACUGUGAGAAAUAAACUCCUGUUGUCACCAAGUCUGUGGUGCUUUGUUAUGGCAGCCCAAACAAAUAAUAUAGGUUGUUUCUAAUUUUUUCCAAUUAGGAACAUCCUUGUAUUUAAGUCUCUGGGCACAUAUCCAAUUAUUUUCUUGGGAUACAUUUCUAAACAAGAAUUGCUGGGUCAAAGGGGAAGAGAGAGCCUUAUACAGUAUGAAAAAUUUCCACAUUUGAUUGAAUGAAAAUGAAACUUACAAUGAAAGUGUGGUUUGAAGAGAAAAAACUGAAAGCUAAUCAAGAGAAUGAGAAGAAAACCACAGACUGGGAAGAAAUAUUUGCAAAAGACGUAUCUGAUAACUGUUAUCAAAAAUACACA